rnacentral:tRNA from 1 species
CAAGGUGUAGCUUAAACCAAAGCGUCUGGCUUACACCCAGAAGAUUUCAUAUUAAACUGACCAUCUUGA